GUUGGAUAACGAUGAGAAUGAAGAAGAAGAAGAAAAAACCUUUGUUUUUUAUGCUUUGUACAUCCACAAGCACGGGCAUACAGAAUGAAGACUUUGCCAAAUUACAAUGAUUUGGUCCUUAUAUGUAUUUGGGGAUGCAACUGAAGAUGGAGUUGACACUAAUUUACAUCAAGCGAAGGACAUUUGUGGAAUAAAAACUAGUGAAUUGCAACUUCACUUUUAUCAGGAUUAGUUUGUUUCUGAAUGCUUUUGCAUGGAUUUAUUCAGUCAUAAAGAUCUAAAAUAUGUACUGUUGCCCAUGAGCGGAAACUAAAGCUCACAGCAGGAUAAAACAAAGCCUCAAAAACUAGUUUUAUGCCUCCUUUCGGCCCUAUGCUGUCCUAGUGUUCAGUUCUUUUUACACCUUGAAAGUUAACCCCCCAGUUGAGAAUUUCUCAAGUCCUUAUGGCAUGGACGUGUUCCUCUCAUUUCUUCUCAGUCAUAGUGGUUUUGCAUGGGAUGCAAUUCAACAGAUGGUAACUGCUGAUGAUGCAGCCUGGGAAGCUUACAUUCAGUCCCAUGGAAUUCUGCAGGAAAAGCCAGAUGCCAUUUUCUACAGAAAUAAAGUCUUGGAGAUCUAUGCAGAAUUCAAAGAAAUGAAGUGUCAAAUAUUGGAGAACAAGGUCAACAACAGCAAACUGACAAUGAUACCCAGGAAGUCCUGGUGGAUGGAUUACUUGUAGAUGGACAUUUUCUUCUACAACACCAUCAGACCAUGAAAAUGCUAACAAGGUACAGAAAACUGGCAAAGAUAUGCGAAGAGCUCUUUCUGAAGUUGCAGAUGCAUUUAUUACAAUAUCGGUAAGUAAGAAAGAGAGCAAUUUAUGCUCUUCAAGCUAUACCAGACAUAGAUGAAGAACUUCUGUUGGAUGCUUGUGAUCUUCUAGAAGAUGAUAAAAAGGCAAAGACAUUUUUGGCACUGGAUGCCUCACUCCGAAAGAAGUGGUUGCUGAGAUAACUUCGUCCAUAGGAGAAAUUUUCAUGUUGUUUUCACUUCUAGGAUUUUUGAAGACAAAGGAUUUUUGAAGACAAAAUAGCACUGAGCUUUACAAAUUGUUUAAUUGUCAAGUUAAAUUUGUAAAUGUAGAUCAGAUUUCAUUUUGAGCAGGACGAGAAAGAUACAUACUUCCUCUGCGAGCACGUUGCAAUGACUGAUUUCCCCUGUGAAUAGCAUGGAAAAUUUAGCAGCCUUUGCUUAGUACAGAGAAUAUUAUUUUUCAGGAUUCCGGUCGGUGUCUUAUAUUUUCUCUUUGAAAAUUAAUGUUUGUUUACAAAGGAAAUAGUUCCAGUGUCCGACAGAAAAUAUUCUAUUGUUCAUGACCGAAGCACAUGUAAUUGGGCCUUUUGUUUGUUAUGGACAGGCGAAUGUAAGGAACUAAACAUAUGCUGUCCAAUUGAAUGUCUCAAAUGGCGUCUUUCUGAACUUGACGAGACGAUGAGCUUGUUGAAGGAAGAAA